GAUGAACGCUGACAGAAUGCUUAACACAUGCAAGUCAACUUGAAUUUGGGUUUUUUAACUUAGAUUUGGGUGGCGGACGGGUGAGUAACGCGUAAAGAACUUGCCUCACAGCUAGGGACAACAUUUGGAAACGAAUGCUAAUACCUGAUAUUAUGAUUAUAAGGCAUCUUAGAAUUAUGAAAGCUAUAUGCGCUGUGAGAGAGCUUUGCGUCCCAUUAGCUAGUUGGAGAGGUAACGGCUCACCAAGGCGAUGAUGGGUAGCCGGCCUGAGAGGGUGAACGCCCACAAGGGGACGAGGAAACGGCCCUUACUCCUACGGGAGGCAGCAGUGGGGAAUAUUGGACAAUGGACCAAGAGUCUGAUCCAGCAAUUCUGUGUGCACGAUGACGUUUUUCGGAAUGUAAAGUGCUUUCAGUUGAGAAGAAAAAAAUGACGGUACCAACAGAAGAAGUGACGGCUAAAUACGUG
rnacentral:rRNA from 1 species